CCCAAUUAUAUUCCGGUCGGAGCAUUUAGCCAUCCAGUUCCUUUCGCUCCUCGCUGCACCGAUGGGGAAACAGAGGUCGGGAGAACCGAUGUGGCUUGCCCAGGGUCACCGGGCGAGUAAGGGGCUGAAUGGAAGAGGAAGAAAGGAGGCACCAUAGGAUGUUUCUGUCCCUGUCCUAGACUCUGCCUGUUGUUUAAGAAGUCCUACUGUCUCUUAUUGGAGAAUGGUGUCAGAAACCAAGAUCUGGAGCACCUGUCCUCCACCAUACCUGUCCACUACAAUGUUCUGCCUUACCUCAGGCCUGCAGUAAUAUGGAGCUGGCUGACCAUGGACUCAAUCUUCUGAAACCAUGAGCCAAAGUAAAUUGUUUCUCCUUUUUUUUGUAAGGGAUUCAGUCUCGGGAAUGAAAAGUGGAGUAACAUAUUUCACGACUCUGAGUAAAUACAUCCUCUCUCCUCCCAAAUUCCUGGAAAACAACUGACUAUUUUUUUGUUAUUACUAUAAAUUUUUCCUUUUCAUAAUGUCAUGUUAGAAUGACUUAGUGUGCAAUAUUUUCAGAACUGGCUUCUUACAUUAAUCAAUAUGUACAUAAGAGUCAAUCGUGUCUUUCAUGGCUUAAUAUUUAAUUUCUUUUGUUAUUUUUGACUAAUCUUCUGUUGCAUAGAUAUAACGUACUUUAUCCAUGCACUUAUUAAAGAAUAUCUUGGUUAUUUUUAGUUUACAGUUAUAAUGAAAAAAGCUGUUAUAAAAUUCUUGAACAGAUUUUUAUGUUGUCAUAAGUUUUCAAUUCAGUUGGUAAAUGCCUGUAAGUAUAAUUUCUGGAUUGUGUGGUAAAACUCUGCUGAACUUUCUAAAAAACUGUCAAAUUGUUUUCCAAAGCAAUUCUACCAUUCUGCUUUCUCACAGCAAUGAAUAAGAAUUGUUAGGUUUUUGAAUUUUAGCUAUUCUAAGUGGUGUGUGGUGAUAUCUCAUUGUGUUAAAUUGCAUUUCCCAAUGAAAAAAUUAAAUUGACCAUCUCUUUCAUAGGUUUGUUUAUCAUCCAUGUAUGUUCUUCAAUGAGAUAGGUGUUCAGAUUUUUUUUUUGUCUAUUUUUUUGCACUUUUUAAAUUGGGUUGUAUUUUAGGCAUUCUUUGUAUGUUUGGGGUAUGAGUCUUUUAUGCAAUAUGUGAUUUGCAAAUAUUAUCUCACAGUCUUUUGAUUCUCUUAAUAAUGUU